GGAGAGGUGGCUGAGUGGUCGAAAGUAGCGGUUUGCUAAACCGUCGUAGGAGUAACAUCCUACCGGGGGUUCGAAUCCCCCCCUCUCCGCCA
rnacentral:tRNA from 2 species